rnacentral:rRNA from 1 species
CCUACGGGUGGCAGCAGUGAGGAAUAUUGCUCAAUGGGCGCGAGCCUGAUGCAGCCAAGUAGCGUGAAGGAUGACUGCCCUCUGGGUUGUAAACUUCUUUUAUAAAGGAAUAAAGUGAGGCACGUGUGCCUUUUUGUAUGUACUUUAUGAAUAAGGCUCGGCUAACUCCGUGCCAGCAGCCGCGGUAAUACGGAGGAUCCGAGCGUUAUCCGGAUGUAUUGGGUUUAAAGGGAGCGUAGAUGGGUUGUUAAGUCAGUUGUGAAAGUUUGCGGCUCAACCGUAAAAUUGCAAUUGAUACUGGCAAUCUUGAGUACAGUAGAGGUAGGCGGAAUUCGUGGUGUAGCGGUGAAAUGCUUAGAGAUCACGAAGAACACCGAUGGCGAAGGCAGCUUACUAAACUGCCACUGACAUUGAUGCUCGAAAGUGUGGGGAGCAAACAGGAUUAGAUACCCUUGUAGUC